UGGAUGAAGGCGAUGAAAGUGAUGGGGAAGGUGAUGAAUCUGAUGAUGACAUACAGCAUGAAGGUUUCAUGGAAGAAGAGUCUCAGGAUGGGAGUGGCGAGGAGGAAGAGGAGGAAUGUGAAACCAUGACUCUAGGGGAGUCUGUGCGUGAUGACCUAUACGAUGAGAAAGUAGAUGAAGAGGACGAGGAGAGAAUGUUAGAGAAAUACAAACAAGAAAGAUUGGAAGAGAUGUUUCCAGAUGAAAUGGAUACCCCUCGUGAUGUGGCCGCUAGAAUUCGAUUUCAGAAAUAUAGAGGCCUCAAGAGCUUCCGGACGUCUCCUUGGGACCCUAAAGAAAACCUUCCUAGAGAUUAUGCUCGGAUUUUUCAGUUUCAGAAUUUUGUUAAUACCAGAAAAAGAAUCUUUAAAGAGAUUGAGGAAAAAGAAACUGAAGGAGCUGAGGUUGGUUGGUACGUCACACUUCAUGUUUCUAAUGUCCCUGUCUCGGUGGUCGAGUCUUUCAGAUGUCAGUAUUGAACAUGGUGGUGAGCCGCAGCCCUGGCAACACGGAACCUGUGAAGGCGAAAGAAGAAUUGAUCUUCCACUGUGGAUUCAGGCGCUUCCGAGCUUCACCUUUAUUCUCUCAGCACACAGCAGCUGAUAAACAUAAAUUUCAAAGAUUCCUGACUGCUGAUGCGGCCUUAGUGGUGACAGUAUUUGCACCAAUCACGUUCCCUCCUGCAUCUGUGCUGCUUU
rnacentral:lncRNA from 1 species